GGUUUCCGUAGGUGAACCUGCGGAAGGAUCAUUACCGAGUGAGGGCCCUCUGGGUCCAACCUCCCACCCGUGUUUAUUUUACCUUGUUGCUUCGGCGGGCCCGCCUUAACUGGCCGCCGGGGGGCUUACGCCCCCGGGCCCGCGCCCGCCGAAGACACCCUCGAACUCUGUCUGAAGAUUGUAGUCUGAGUGAAAAUAUAAAUUAUUUAAAACUUUCAACAACGGAUCUCUUGGUUCCGGCAUCGAUGAAGAACGCAGCGAAAUGCGAUACGUAAUGUGAAUUGCAAAUUCAGUGAAUCAUCGAGUCUUUGAACGCACAUUGCGCCCCCUGGUAUUCCGGGGGGCAUGCCUGUCCGAGCGUCAUUUCUGCCCUCAAGCACGGCUGGUGUGUUGGGCCCCGUCCUCCGAUCCCGGGGGACGGGCCCGAAAGGCAGCGGCGGCACCGCGUCCGGUCCUCGAGCGUAUGGGGCUUUGUCACCCGCUCUGUAGGCCCGGCCGGCGCUUGCCGAUCAACCCAAAUUUUUAUCCAGGUUGACCUCGGAUCAGGUAGGGAUACCCGCUGAACUUAAGCAU
rnacentral:rRNA from 1 species